CCUGUGGUUGAAACCACAGGCUUUAAUACUCCAUCCCUUCAGGAUG
rnacentral:sRNA from 1 species